CAUAUGUAUGUUCAAGUUGCAUCGUUUUGACGGUAGUGAAUGUUUGGGGCUUCUGAAUGGGGUUUUCUAUGAAAAUGACAAACUCGGCACGGCUCUCACGGUGCGCUCAUCCAUGCUGUUACGAAAAUGCAUACAGGCAUACGAGACUUGUGGAGCGGUGAUCCGACGAGAAUGUCUAGACUUUGCAGUGUGAGUGUCAAAUAUGAGUAUAUAUUUUCUGUAUUGUGAAUGUGUUUAUGAAUGUGUACUUGUUCAUGCUUAAGAUUCGCGCAAAUCGGAAAGCUUCGCCGCAAACGUCGGCGCCGUGGUUGACGUAGUAGUCGUCAUCAUCUCCAUCAUAGGGUUGUUGUUGUUGUUGAAUUGAGUUGUCUGAUUUGCGAAUGUGUUGCGUGUGCAACUGUAUAUAUGCGAUGUGUGGUUUCCUCUGGUCUGUUGCCAUUGCUGCUUUUCUGUUGCUGUUUUCGUUGUCGUCGUCGGUGAAUCGAAGCAGUUGCUUGCUUGAUGCUCGCUAGGCGCUAGGUAGAGCGUUUUGUUACUUCGACUGUAAUCGACUUAGAGUUUAAACUACAAUUUCAGUUUCGCUGAUACCGUAAGAGAUAACCGACGUUUGCGUUCGACCUAAUAAAAACAGAAAUAUUGCAAUACGCGGAUGGUAUCUCAACAAACUUGCCAGCAAACAAACUUAAGCGAUUUGCAAUUUGCGAUAGCCAAUUAAACUUAUACAUUCAUAUGGAAAAACGUACGGAGAUGAAUACUGCAUAUACAUGAAAUGAAAUGUUAGAAAAUCGUGACCGUUUGUCAGAAAUAGAUUUUAUGAAUGCCCGUAUGCACUUAAACUAAAAUCAAACUAACAAAAUAUUCUCAUGCCAUGCAGGUGUGGUUAAAGACCGACAUAAACUGUGAAACGAUAUAUGACACUUAAAAUUGAAUGUAUUCGAAUGAUUUAAAUGAUUUCAAAGUGUAAAUUUCGAAUAUCCGCAAAUGUGUUUUUUUUUUUUGUGUUUGGCUGUGCAAUUUAGUAGAUUUUUUUGACAUACAUAUACACAUACACUUAUAUUCAAUGCACCUAUGUACAAUAUGUGUCGUAAAAUAACUAACAGGAACAGUGACUAGUGGCGUGCAAUUCAAACAGAAAAACCACAAUAAAUAAUCACAAUGGAGUGAAAGGAUAAAUAACUCUUUAAUCAGUUAUGUAGAAAUUAAGUUUUAAAAUGUGACAGUUUUGUUCGAGGAAUAUCACAUCACUUUAUACAUAUGUAUGUAUGCAUGUAUCUUUUAUCCUAAAAAAAAGACAUAUUUCGGCGCUGCACAUAGUUUCGAAAGUAAACAAAAAUUAAAUUUAAAUAUCAAACGUCCUAUCCAAAUGUACAAAAAAAAAACAAAUUACCUCAAAAAUUUUAAAUAUUGACGAAGCUCAGGUACAAAAGUUUGAAAUAAAUAAUAACAGCGACAAAAAGUUAAUGGUGGCUGCACAAAUCUUAAACCAAAAUAAUAAUCAACUUUUGUUCAAUUGCAAUUCAUAUCCAAAAUUUUUGUGAAAGUGUUAAAAAUUAUAAAUAUCUUUCUAGAGAAAUUGUUAGUCACUUUAUAGACUUAAGUAUCAGCAAUUCAUUAAAAAAAUACCUUACCAUAAGAAUCUUUUAAUUCAAUUACGUAAACGUUGUGUGUGAAACACAUAGUACUCUGGAUUUAUGGAGCUUAGAAUAUAAUUGCAAGGAUUAAUCAAUAGACUUUAUAAAUAAGCUCACCAACAAUUUUAUGGUAACGCAAUAUCUGUUUUACGAAGCUGUUCACAAAAUCUUAUUAGAUGUGACCGUUGAGAAAUUUCAUAACAGAGACUGUAUUAAAUAAAGAAAAAUUGUAACUAUUUGGCCAUUAAAGUAAGCAUAAUUGUGGCGGGAUACACCGAUUGAAAUUCACCGGUAGUGGCACUUAGCUACAAUCUUCAUAAUGAUUAUGGUGCAACACCUGGUCACAGCCAAUGCAGGCCAUACGCUUGUCAACCAGGCAGCGUUGUCCUCUGCAGGUUCGUCUUCGCCUAUACCACCGUCACCACCGUCCGCGCACAAUGUAUCCUCCGUGUCAUCCCUCUCGUGUUCGGCAUCCCUAGAAUCGAAUGCAAUGUCAUCGCCAGCACGAUCACCCUCGCCCGUGGCUUUUUCGCAGCAAAGUGUAUCCCCAUUGGCUUCGCCCACCAUCAUAACCACAAGCACCAGUACAAGGAAUAUUUCGAAUGAUGAUAAAUCGUUGAAUUGUUAUAUUAAAGCCACAAAGGAGGAAAAGGAAAUUAGAAAUGAGAAUUGGCAAUCAUCCAGCAACAGCAGCGAGAAUGAGAUAUUAAUUCGUGCCAUAGAAUCACACAAGUCCACAAUGCAACCUCGAGAAUGCCCUCUGCCAAAAUUGGCAUCAGCUGUGACUAACGAUAAUAACGACAGUAAUGUUUCACCGGCAUCCAGUCCGAAAACAUCACCACCAACAGCUACCGCCGACUCGACUGCCGAUAAUAAGAGUCGAAUAUUCAAUUGUCCUGAAAAGUUCACGGUACUUUACAAUCAUUUGCGGCAACAUAAAUAUUCGGGUGUAAGUAGUGAUAUUGACAAGGAGCGUGAGACUUUUGGCGAAUUGGGUCAGCAGGUGAGACGUACCGUUAUUACAAGUAAAAAUCAAAAUGUCAGCGAACCAUCGAACGCUCGUGAAUGUACCACACCCGAAUGUCGGCACAAUUUAGAACGAGAGAAGAACAGUGCAGUUGAUAUUUCACAAGAUGAUGAUGAGGAGGAGAAUAUCGCGGUCGAAGAAGAUGGCAUAGCCUCCAUGGAGAACUAUAAUAGUGAAGAUGAAGAAGAAGAGGAUACAGAUGGCCCAUUAGAUCUAUCAGUGAAUGCGAAAAUGCUUCGUAAUCGGGAUCAUUCCUACUCAGAAACGGAUUCGGAAGACUCAGGCUCUGGGGUGACGGAAGGGGAACAUGCCCAACUAAAGGCAGAACAACGAUCCGCUUACAAGAAAAAUCUAAUGAAGCGAUACUAUACUCAAAUUCCAGUUAUAAAACAAUCAACAAGUCCUGGUCCAUUGUUGACACAUCACCAGCAUCAUCACCAUCAGCAGCAGCAUCAACAGCAGCAGCAGCAGCAGCCAUCACAACAUCAGCAACAACAGAGCGCCACAUAUGCGGGAUCUCCUAGUGUUAUACACAUAAAAUCUGAGCAAAACGCAAUACUUUCUCCACAACACCACCAUCAACAAGCCCAUCAUCAACAACAACAGCAGCAGCAACUUGUUAAUGGCUUAUCUCAACAUGGCGGCCCCCACUCAGGAUCAGGGGCGAGUAACCAGCUCCAGCCCCUGGCCAUACCACACCGGCCUUUGCUGCAUAAUCUGCUAAGUGGCGGUUCCAUACACAACUCACAUCACAGGACCUAUGGGGCAGCUACAACAGGUUCCUUCCCUCCCAGUCCUGCCGAUAGUGGUGUUUCCGAUGUGGAUAGUUCUAGUUCAGGAGGACAACCGUGUAGUGAUGAGAUAAAGGCGAGGCUUGGUAUAUCGGCACAUUGCCACCCGCAUUCAUCUCAUAUUCCAACAGGGACUUUUCUACACCCAAAUCUCUACCAAAAUUCUGCGUCAUUACGGAAUAUAUGGAAUCGAAGUGUCGGAAUGCCCGAUGGUUACUACUUGCCACUCGCGAGCAACACUAGUCCAUCCAAUGGCUCGACGGUGAGUAGCAGCAGUGGAAAUGGUGCGAGUGCGGGCUCAGUUGGUACGCUAAAUAAUGGAAAUCCGACUAGUUACUCGACGGCACCCUACUUUACAACACCCUCCCCGCCACGCGCCAAUCCCGGCAUGACACCACAUCAUUCCCUGCAUACUCACCAACAACACCUACAUCAUCAUCAGCAUUCCACGCUGGCCAACAGCCAAUCAACCGCUGCUGGAAGUGUCCUGCAUCAACCAAGUGUGAUUCAGCCAACAACGUCCAAUGUCAAUUAUGAUCUCUCCUAUAUGUUGGAGCUUGGUGGUUUUCCUCAACGCAAAGUGAAAAAACCACGAAAGCCGAAAAUAGAAAUGGGUGUGAAACGACGUAGUCGAGAAGGCUCUACAACAUACCUAUGGGAAUUUCUACUGAAACUCUUGCAGGAUCGAGAAUAUUGUCCGCGUUUUAUUAAGUGGACCAACCGUGAGAAAGGCGUAUUCAAGUUGGUGGACUCGAAAGCAGUGUCACGUCUAUGGGGCAUGCAUAAGAAUAAACCUGAUAUGAAUUAUGAGACAAUGGGGCGAGCAUUGCGUUAUUACUAUCAGCGUGGGAUAUUGGCGAAGGUGGACGGACAAAGGCUGGUCUAUCAGUUUGUAGACGUGCCAAAGGAUAUUAUUGAGAUUGACUGCAAUGGAGUGUAAAUGUUUGGAAAUGGCGUACAUCGAAUAAUAUCAAAUAUCCAUCUCCUUAGGGAUCAUAAAUGCAAUAACUUGAAAAUAAAAAUAAUGUUAAGGUGUUUCCAAGGAUGAUAUAUUCAAAUGAACGAAAUUAUUAUCCAAAAUCCGAUGAAUUUUCAGAACUAAUGCAUGGCCUACAAAUGAAAUGGAUUUGGUGGAAUGUACAAAGCAAUAAAAGAUUGCUCGAAACUUUCGCUAAAUUUCAGGUAAUACAGAUACAAAAAUUAAAAAAAAAAUAUUUGCAGAGUACAGAAGUUUUAUACAAAAAUGGAUGCAUAUUGUAAAGAAUUUGUAUUUAUUAGAACUUUUUAUGUUAAUAGUAGUUAUGGUGAGUAAAAUGGCUUUAAGGCUCACUGAAAUGAAAUUGUAUAUUUUAGAUACACAAUAACAUACAUAUUUAUAAAGAAAAUAGCUAUAUUUAU
rnacentral:misc_RNA from 1 species